UUCAUUAGUAUAGAAUAUAGUAAACAAAUGACUUCCUUCUAAACUCAAAACCUUAAUGACCGUUACGAAUCAAAUCGCAUCCUCAUCGUUUAUCAUUUAAAAAUCAAUAUGAAGAGAAAAAAAAAUAUAAAAUAUAAUCUUUUAUUCACCAUAACUUUAAAAUACUAACAACCCUCUUUUGUCAACAGGUAGAGGAGAAAAAAAAAAA
rnacentral:lncRNA from 1 species